CAGUAGCCGCGGUAAUACGAAGGGGGCUAGCGUUGCUCGGAAUCACUGGGCGUAAAGGGUGCGUAGGCGGGUCUUUAAGUCAGGGGUGAAAUCCUGAGCUCAACUCCAGAACUGCCUUUGAUACUGAAGAUCUUGAGUUCGGGAGAGGUGAGUGGAACUGCGAGUGUAGAGGUGAGAUUCGUAGAUAUUCGCAAGAACACCAGUGGCGAAGGCGGCUCACUGGCCCGAUACUGACGCUGAGGCACGAAAGCGUGGGGAGCAAACAGGAUUAGAGACCCCUGUAGUCCCUGUCUCUUAUACA
rnacentral:rRNA from 1 species